rnacentral:rRNA from 1 species
GAUGAACGCUAGCUACAGGCUUAACACAUGCAAGUCGAGGGGAAACGACAUCGAAAGCUUGCUUUGAUGGGCGUCGACCGGCGCACGGGUGAGUAACGCGUAUCCAACCUGCCCAUCACUUGGGAAUAACCUUGCGAAAGUAAGACUAAUACCCAAUGAUAUCCCACGAAGGCAUCGGAAUGGGAUUAAAGAUUUAUCGGUGAUGGAUGGGGAUGCGUCUGAUUAGCUUGUUGGCGGGGUAACGGCCCACCAAGGCAACGAUCAGUAGGGGUUCUGAGAGGAAGGUCCCCCACAUUGGAACUGAGACACGGUCCAAACUCCUACGGGAGGCAGCAGUGAGGAAUAUUGGUCAAUGGGCGAGAGCCUGAACCAGCCAAGUAGCGUGCAGGAAGACGGCCCUAUGGGUUGUAAACUGCUUUUAUAAGGGAAUAAAGUGGGUCACGUGUGACUUUUUGCAUGUACCUUAUGAAUAAGGACCGGCUAAUUCCGUG